CCUGCUCAAUGAAUACUAAAUAGCCGCUAUAAGUGCUAAGGUAGCAUAAUAAAUUGCCUCCUAAUUAGAGGAUAGUACGAAAGGAUCUACGAUUUAUAAAUUAUAAAAAAGUAUUAAACUAAAACUAUACAUAUAUUGUAAAAACACAAUUAAAAAUAAAGCAGGACGACAAGACCCUAAAGAACUUAACUAAAAGUUACACUGGGGCGGUCAAAAACCAAAUCUUUUUUAUACAUUUAAUAAACGCUACCUAUUAGAACUAAAAAAGUUACCAUAGGGAUAACAGCAUAAUAGUUUACAAAAGCCCUUAUACAAUAAACUGAUUAUGACCUCGAUGUUGAAUUUAAUGAAUCUAUUUACAGAAAAAAGUAAAAAAGAAAGUCUGUUCGACUUAUAAAUCAUUACAU
rnacentral:rRNA from 1 species